rnacentral:tRNA from 1 species
UGGGAUAUAGCUCAGUGGGAGAGUACUUGCCUAGCAUGUGUGAGGCACUGGGUUCAAUCCCCGGUACCACAA